rnacentral:lncRNA from 1 species
CCAUACAUUCAAUCAAUCCCAACCAUUUCCAUAAUGUGCGAAACUUGUAACACCAUAAAUACCGACACCCUCACCAUCUCGGCACCCCCACAACUCCGCAACACCUUCUCCUAACUUCGCACCAUCGUCGGAGAAGUCGAGAACGUCGGAAAACCUCCGCUCCGUUCUUUAUUUCAUUUCGCCGCAGCCCCGGAACUCGUAGACGACACCGGAGCCGUACGGGAUCACCGCGGAGAUCGUUCACUACGUUCGGGUAACCAUCCCGUUCGUUCCUUUGGAUUUUCCAUCUUACUCGUGCGUUAUUUACAAGAAAUCGCAACGCAAUCAAUGACUGUUUUUCGGGCUUCCAAUGCUCACACAGGAUGGCGGCUGAUCCCAUUAUAAAGAUCAAUAAUGCAAGGUGAAUGCAAACCAUAGAUAUAAUAUUGAAAUAAAAUAAAGAAAGGACAUAAAGUAUUUUUGUCCAGAUGUUUAAAACACCACGCCAUGAACAAUGUCUCUAGAUAAAACACCAUGACUUGAAUCAUAGUCAAUUUAUCCAGUUGUUUUAAAACACCACGCCAUGAAUCUGAUUAUACAAUGUCUCCAUAUAAAACACCAUGACUUGAAUCAUAGAUGUUUAAAACACCACACCAUGAAUAAUCUCUCCAGAUAAAACACCAUGACUUGAAUCAUAGUCAUGGUGUUUUAAAAUCUGGGAAUGUUUGGUAUUGAUAAAACACCACGCCAUGAACAAUGUCUCUGGAUAAAACACCAUGACUUGAAUCAUAGAUGUUUAAAACACCACGACAUGAACAAUGUCUCCGGAUAAAACACCAUGACUUGAAUCAUAGAUGUUUAAAAUAACACGACAUGAACAAUGUCUCCAGAUAAAACACCAUGACUUGAAUCAUAGUCAAUUUAUCCAGUUGUUUUAAAACACCACGCCAUGAAUCUGAUUAUAGAUCUCUUUAUGAUAACGUAUGAAGAAUAUGCAACCAAAGAUCUUCUACAAUUAAGGUGAAUCAUUAAUUCCUAUAUUUAAGGAAAAAGGAGUGAAUGUAGGUAUUUUUGGUUAUGUAGGUUACGGUUACCAUAUUUCAAACAUUGAAAAAGACACUAUUGCCCUUCAAUUUUACAUAAGGUCCCUCUAAUUAAAACACAAUUUACAUUUUUAUACCCUAUUGAUCUCAACCAUUAGAUCAAAUAUCUAAUGGUUUAAAACACUUCUUACCCUUCUCACAUUUUAAACACUUUUUACUAUAUCCCUACCCUACUAUCCAUUAUCCCCUUGGUGGUUUCUAUACCCAUCCUAGUGCGACAUGGUGUCUAAACCCUUGAAUCCCAACACUUCUCCUUACAUUACUCAUCAUUUCCUGAAUUCGAGUUCAUUAAGAAAUAGUGACUGUUGACUAAUUGUUGCCUUGGUAGUUGUUACCAUAUCCAUUAUCCCCUUGGUAGUUGUUACCAUAUCCAUUGUCCCCUUGGUAGUUGUUACCAUAUCCAUUAUCCCUAUGGUAGUUGUUACCAUUAUUUCAUUACGUUAUGCUUGAUCUUAUUUCAUCGUCGAGAACUAGCAAAAGGAGAGAAUACGGAACAAGAUUCUUCGAUAACUAUAUCUUUCCAUUAUGCCCUAGAUUUCAUUAGGGUAUAGUUAUAAAUCCCCUAAUAUCAGGCCCAUCGGUUACCGUGGAAUGCAUCCUUAAACUUGUGAUGAUAUGUUACAAAUUGGGAACCACAUAUUCGUGUGUUGCAGUUUAGAAAGAUGAUCGAAUAGAGAUUUGAAUAACCGAUACAGCCAAUUUGUAACCCAACUAAAAUCUUCUUGAGUCUAGAUUCUUGCUUAAACAAUGUUCUGAUAUCGAGAAUGUUCGUUUGGGGAAAAUGUUCUGGAAAUGGAAGGAAAAGGAAGGUUGAAACUGUACAAUAAUAAUGAUUCAACUGCUGCUAUUGAUAUAAUGAGAUUUGUUUCAAAGUAAAAAGAAAACAACUAGUCGUUUGUCUGAGUUUUCUUUCUCUUUGAUGAAAGGGAUUUAUUUCAAAGUAAAAAAGAAAACUGAAACCCGUUUUCCUUGAUAGGUAAAAGUCUUCCAUGCUUGCUUUAUAUUUAUCAAAUGGUCAUUUGUCUGAGUUUUAAUUCUCUUUAAUGAAAUGGGAUUUGUUUCAAAGUAACAAGAAAACUGAAACCCUUAUUCCUUGAUAGCAGAAGCCGUUCGAUUUGAUGGUUCUGAACACUAUAUAGACUGCCAGAUCGAAACCCCAAUGUGUGAAUAUUA